UACGGGUAGGGCAAGCGUUGUCCGGAAUCAUUGGGCGUAAAGCGCGUGUAGGCGGUCCGGUAAGUCCGCUGUGAAAGUCGGGGGCUCAACCCUCGGAUGCCGGUGGAUACUGUCGGGCUUGAGUACGGAAGAGGCGAGUGGAAUUCCCGGUGUAGCGGUGAAAUGCGCAGAUAUCAGGAGGAACACCAAUUGCGAAGGCAGCUCGCUGGGACGUUACUGACGCUGAGACGCGAAAGCGUGGGGAGCAAACAGG
rnacentral:rRNA from 1 species